rnacentral:rRNA from 1 species
UAUACCGUGAACUGCGAAUGGCUCAUUAAAUCAGUUAUCGUUUAUUUGAUAGUACCUUACUACUUGGAUAACCGUGGUAAUUCUAGAGCUAAUACAUGCUAAAAACCCCAACUUCGGGAGGGGUGUAUUUAUUAGAUAAAAAACCAAUGCCCUUCGGGGCUCCUUGGUGAUUCAUAAUAACUUCUCAGAUCGCAUGGCCUUGCGCCGGCGACGGUUCAUUCAAAUUUCUGCCCUAUCAACUUUCGAUGGUAAGGUAUUGGCUUACCAUGGUUUCAACGGGUAACGGGGAAUUAGGGUUCGAUUCCGGAGAGGGAGCCUGAGAAACGGCUACCACAUCCAAGGAAGGCAGCAGGCGCGCAAAUUACCCAAUCCCGACACGGGGAGGUAGUGACAAUAAAUACUGAUACAGGGCUCUUUAGGGUCUUGUAAUUGGAAUGAGUACAAUUUAAACCUCUUAACGAGGAACAAUUGGAGGGCAAGUCUGGUGCCAGCAGCCGCGGUAAUUCCAGCUCCAAUAGCGUAUAUUAAAGUUGUUGCAGUUAAAAAGCUCGUAGUUGAACCUUUGGCCUGGCUGGCGGGUCCGCCUCACCGCGUGCACUCGUCCGGCCGGGCCUUUUCUUCUGGAGAACCGCAUGCCCUUCACUGGGUGUGUUGGGGACCAGGACUUUUACUUUGAAAAAAUUAGAGUGUUCAAAGCAGGCCUUUGCUCGAAUACGUUAGCAUGGAAUAAUAGAAUAGGACGUGCGGUCCUAUUUUGUUGGUUUCUAGGACCGCCGUAAUGAUUAAUAGGGACAGUCGGGGGCAUCAGUAUUCAAUUGUCAGAGGUGAAAUUCUUGGAUUUAUUGAAGACUAACUACUGCGAAAGCAUUUGCCAAGGAUGUUUUCAUUAAUCAGUGAACGAAAGUUAGGGGAUCGAAGACGAUCAGAUACCGUCGUAGUCUUAACCAUAAACUAUGCCGACUAGGGAUCGGGCGGUGUUACUAUUUUGACCCGCUCGGCACCUUACGAGAAAUCAAAGU